rnacentral:rRNA from 1 species
GAUGAACGCUGGCGGCGUGCCUAAUACAUGCAAGUCGAGCGAACAGACGAGGAGCUUGCUCCUCUGACGUUAGCGGCGGACGGGUGAGUAACACGUGGAUAACCUACCUAUAAGACUGGGAUAACUUCGGGAAACCGGAGCUAAUACCGGAUAAUAUAUUGAACCGCAUGGUUCAAUAGUGAAAGACGGUUUUGCUGUCACUUAUAGAUGGAUCCGCGCCGCAUUAGCUAGUUGGUAAGGUAACGGCUUACCAAGGCGACGAUGCGUAGCCGACCUGAGGGGGUGCUGGGCCACCCGGGAACUGAGACACGGCCCAGCCCCCGAGGGGAGGCAGCAUUGGGGAAUCUUCCGCAAGGGGGGAAACCCUGACGGAGAAACGCCGGGGGGGGGAUGAAGGUCUUCGGAUGGUAAAACGCUUUUUUUGGGGAAAAACAAAUUUGAAAGUAACUAUGCCCGUCUUGACGGUACCUAAUCAGAAAGCCCCGCCAAACUACGG